UACGUAGGGACCAAGCGUUGUUCGGAUUUACUGGGCGUAAAGGGCGCGUAGGCGGCCCCACAAGUCACUUGUGAAAUCUCCGGGCUUAACUCGGAACGGCCAAGUGAAACUGUGGAGCUAGAGUGUGGAAGGGGCAAUCGGAAUUCUUGGUGUAGCGGUGAAAUGCGUAGAUAUCAAGAGGAACACCUGAGGUGAAGACGGGUUGCUGGGCCAACACUGACGCUGAGGCGCGAAAGCCAGGGGAGCGAACAGG
rnacentral:rRNA from 1 species